rnacentral:rRNA from 1 species
UACAGAGGGGGCAAGCGUUAUUCGGAAUUAUUGGGCGUAAAGGGCGCGUAGGCGGCAUGGCAAGUGGAAGGUGAAAUCCCUCGGCUUAACCGAGGAACUGCCUGUCAAACUGCAUGGCUUGAGACCGGGAGAGGUGAGUGGAAUUCCCAGUGUAGCGGUGAAAUGCGUAGAUAUUGGGAGGAACACCGAUGGCGAAGGCAGCUCGCUGGGACGGUACUGACGCUGAGGCGCGAAAGCGUGGGGAGCAAACAGG